rnacentral:tRNA from 1 species
GGCGUGGUAGCUCAGCCGGUUAGAGCGCAUGAUUCAUAAUCAUGAGGUCGCGAGUUCAAUCCUCGCCCACGCUA